GUGGGGAAUCUUGCGCAAUGGGCGAAAGCCUGACGCAGCCAUGCCGCGUGAAUGAUGAAGGUCUUAGGAUUGUAAAAUUCUUUCACCGGGGACGAUAAUGACGGUACCCGGAGAAGAAGCCCCGGCUAACUUCGUGCCAGCAGCCGCGGUAAUACGAAGGGGGCUAGCGUUGCUCGGAAUUACUGGGCGUAAAGGGCGCGUAGGCGGACAGUUUAGUCAGAGGUGAAAGCCCAGGGCUCAACCUUGGAAUUGCCUUUGAUACUGGCUAUCUUGAGUAUGGAAGAGGUAUGUGGAACUCCGAGUGUAGAGGUGAAAUUCGUAGAUAUUCGGAAGAACACCAGUGGCGAAGGCGACAUACUGGUCCAUUACUGACGCUGAGGCUCGAAAGCGUGGGGAGCAAACAGGAUUAGAAACCCGGGUAGUCC
rnacentral:rRNA from 1 species